CCUUCUUCAGCUGUCCCCCUCCCUGAACCAGGCCCCCAGCCGCGCCACCACUGCCGCUCUCCGCCCUGGUGACCCCAGCGCCUGGACCGGCACCUGCAGCUCCGACCCCGAACAGCCGCGCCCUCUACCACUGGGUCACACCCGUGUGCCUGCGACCUUUCCUACCUCCAAGGCUGGCUGUCCCACAAGUAGGAAGUCGCAGCCUCCCAAGAAAUCGAGUCCCCACCCCCAGGAGGGCGGGUGGAGCCAGCUAACGGAAUGACUAAACUCUGUUGCGGGGGUCAAGCCUCGGCGAGGGUUGUGUGACUUUUUGUUCUCUACGACCCCGAGGUGCUGGGAGACGACGACCGAGGCUCUCGCCCACGUGGCCCUCUUCUGGACCGGCGGCGGCGCACCUCGUGCGGGGACCCACGCGCCCCGGGAGCCCUCCCCUAGCCAGCACAGCCUCACGCCUCCUGGGCCACGCGCACUUACCUGCCCCCAGGACUGGUGUGGCCCACGCAGAGAGCCACAACCCCAAGGAGAGCUAGUCCCACUCCUGGAGCGGGCUGCGAGGGUGCACGGGGAGGCUCCACUCCUUCCCCGCCCGCCUCUUACCUGAUUCAGACAAGAGAUCUCACCCUGUCUCCCAGGCUGGAGUGCAGUGGCACGAUCAUAGCUUGCUGCAGCCUCAAAUUCCUGAGCUCAAGAAAUCCUCCUGCUUCAGCCUCUCGAAUAGCUGGUAUUACAGGCACGCACCAUCAUGCCCAGCUCAACCCAACAUUUUAUAAUAAUGAUGAUAAGAAUGAAUAACAGCAAACAUUUGUCAAUCGCUUUGUGCCAGACGCUGUGCUUAACUUCUCAUGUGUACAUUUUUAACUUCUGAUGAUUACCCUACGAAGAACUAUUAUUAUCCUAAUUUUACUAAUGAGAAAACAGGCUUUGAAAGAUUAAGGAGCUUGCCCAUGGUCGCAGAGCUGGUAAAUUGUGGAAUCAAGAUUUAAAUCCAGAUCUAUCUGCUCAUGUUUGUCUAUUCAUCAGUUUGGUAGAACUAAAAUAUUUGAAAAACCACUAGCCACUUUUUAAAGUAUUAAUGCUUACAGAGUUAAUUUAUCUUUUAAAGGGAAAACACAUAGCUAUUCUACUCUAGUGGAUGGAAAUAGAGUGUUCUAAUUUAAACUAAUGGUAUAGAAAGCCAAAUAAAUACUCUUCAUGUCAGGCUAAAUGAGAAAAUGAUCCUGCUUUUAUCCCAUAUAAUCCGUUCUUAUUAUAUGAAUGUUAUGAGUAUUUUUGCUUAGAGAUUGAUAUAUUACAAACCAGUAAUAGAUUUUUCUUAAAAACUCCUUUUGAAGAAAAGAGAUCUAAACUGAAAGACAACCAUAGAAUGUUUAAUGAGUUGUGAGAGAUGAAGAUACCAAGAUAUUUUGAGGGACGUGUGAGGUCUAAAUGAGUUAAUACGUGUAAAGCACUUGGUGGAGUGCCUGGCACACAGGAAGCACUGUAUUAUUGCUGCUGCUGUUCUUACUAAGAACUUCAAGUAGCUUGCAAUCCAGUGGUAAAGAUAAACGCAUAAGCUGACAACAAGUAAUGUGAUAAAUGAUGUAAUUCAGCUAUGAUCAAAAUUCUGUGGGCGUUCCAAGGGGACAGGGUCUGCCAGGGAAUAGGGAGAGUGGCAGGAAAACAAGAUGGGACCCAGAGAUCCCACAACUGCAGAGUGAGCACGUUGCUAGAACUAGAGCAACGCAACCUUUUUCAGAAACACUUUAUUUGUUGGCAAAUCUUGUAUUACUAAAGGCUUUACUUCUUAGAAUCCACAAUGUUUAAAGUUUCCACAGUUUCAAGCACUCAUUUGCCUCUGGUGGUUGAGGGGAAGGGGGCCCCUGGGCGGAAGAGCAAGGCUUUCACCAAGAUGAUGUGAGAAUGGGGAACAGGGGGAGGAGGUCUCUGAAGCUUAUGAAGAUGUGGCCCAGUACUCAAAGGAAGUUCUGGCCUCACCUAGAAGUCCAACUAGGAUGUCCAGACUCCAGGAGGGGAAGACACAUUCCCUUCCCCCAGGCUUCUGUCCCUUUCUGGCAGAGGAGAAACAGUGGAGCACAGACUUGGUGAUGUGUACGUUGAGCAAGAGGGAAGGGGUAGGCGGUGGAGCUGUGGCCCAACUUGGCGGGCACUGCCCGAGAAAGCCCACCUUUUUCCUCCAAACCCAUGCCAGGUGUCUAGCACACUAACUCAGUGUUUCCUAAGCCAAAUGACAAGGAAGGCUGCUUAAAAGUCUACAUUCUUUACUACAGGCCAUUAACUUUAUGUAGGCAAAACAUAUUUAUGUUCCUCCGGUUCUUCAACAAACAGAGUAAAGAAACUUUCUGUGGGUAGUUCACUCGGACUGGUGAAAAGAGGGCAGCUAUUCUGAUGUGAAUAACUAAUAAAACAUAUACAGAGAAAAAAAGUUUAAAAUUAAACAGAGGAACACUGUUGGUAGAAUUAAAUAGAUACAACUUUUUGGGAAGGCAUUUUGGCAAUAGCUAUCAAACUUGACCCAGCUAUUCCACUGUUUCACAUUUAUACUUUAUGUAUACUCCCUGGCAUAUGUCUAAGAACAAACAAUGCUGUAUUAUUUGGAAAAAAAAUUCAAACUGGAAACAACCUAAAUGUCCAUCUACAGGGUGCUAGUUAUGAGGUUGUCUAACGUGUAAAGCUUCCCAAUGUUACAUGAAAAAGCAAAGUUCAAAAUAGUAUGUAUAUUGUAAUCCUAGUUGUCUAACAUAUAUGUACCAUGUAUCUAAACAUCUAUAGUUACAUUUAUAACAUUGAUAUAGAUGUAUAUGUAUUAGAAAUGCUGGAAAGAUCUAGGUGGGGCACAGUGGCAGCACAGGAACAAAUUUAAUCUGCAGGAAGAUUUGUUUAUUGGUUGUUGUUGUUUUUUUACUUAAGUUGGCAUGCCUUUAGGAGAGGUUAUCAUACAGUUCCUAUUUAUUCCUCAGUGUAUUCCUAUUUAUCUUACACUCUCUGCUUCCCUCAGUUCCUCCUGGCCCUCAGAGGCAAAUGAGGAAAGAAAUCAUGGUGGUGCGGGCAGCUGAAGGGAUGCUUUAGUCUUUCCUUUCCGUUUCAACACUGUAAGCAAACAUUACUUCAUAACUUAAGGGAGGGUAGACUAGGAACUGCCAUCAUUUCACAUCCAUGAGAAGAAGGAAUAGAGGAAAAUAAGGAUUCUGGAAGAAGAGGCACUGAGUGGGAAGUGAUUGCUAUAGUCUAGAUAAGGAGCAAGGAGAGUUCGAACUAGCCAGUGACAGCAAGGAUAAAUUGUGAAACCCAGGUAUAAAGCCUCUUUUCUGAAUCCCUUCUUGGCCACUGCAGUUAAACGAAUGCACAGGCUCCCUCAUCCCUUCUUUCUCCACCAUGAAAAAUUGCAGCCUGUGGUUGAUCACAUGGGCUGCUGGGCAGAGCUUGAUCACAUGGGCUGUUGUGCUCUAUGGGAGUCUAACUCUGCCCAUAGCACACCCACAGUCUCAUUCUCCUGUCCCUGCAAGUUAAGUUCUGACUCUUCACAGUGCUGGCACCAGCUGUGUAGGAAGCAGGAGCUGUCAGCACCAAAGGUACUAUGGAAAUCAAACCCGAAUGUCCCCGACCCAAGGUCUACCAGAGAACUGUCCUGACCCAUGUCCACAACAUAGGAUCAGUGGUUUCCCCAGUUAACAUCAAGACAAUAUUGAAAACUCUACAGUCUGCAAAGUAAAGAUUUACCUUAAAAGAAGAACAAGGAACACUUCCAAGUGAAACAUUCUUUUGUUUUUGGCAGCAGCUAAAAGUCAGACUGGUGCAAGAGUCCUGGAGGCCGUAUUUUAUCUAUUUUAUCUACUGAAAAUUCUUCAGUUGAAUGAAAUUAUUUAUUUAAAAAGGUUUCACUGAAUUUAGGCUGGUAUUUCAGAGACUUUCUCCUCUGUAGUCUAAGCAGUGGGGAAUGGAAUAUGGUACUAAAGUGGGGAGAUUGAACCAUGAAUAAAGUCAGAUCCAUUAAU